rnacentral:rRNA from 1 species
GUCCUUUAGGAAAAAAUUAAAGGUCUAAUCUGCCCAAUGAUGUUUGAAUGGCCGCGGUAACUUGACCGUGCAAAGGUAGCAUAAUUAUUAGUCUUUUAAUUGAAGGCUUGAAUGAAAGAUUGGAUGAAAAAUAAACUUUAUUAAUAAAUAUUAUUUAAUUUAUCAUUUAAGUAAAAAUUCUUAAAUAUAUAAGUGGGACGAGAAGACCCUAUAGAGUUUUAUAUUUAUUUUUAUUAUGAAUUUUAAGAAUUAAUAUUUUCAUAAUAUAAAUAAAUAUUUUAUUGGGGUGAUAUUAAAAAUUACUGAACUUUUAAUUAACAUUUCAUUAAUAUAUGAAUUUUUGAUCCAAAAUAAUUUUUGAUUAUAAGAUUAAAUUACCUUAGGGAUAACAGCGUUAUUAAUUUGAAGAGUUCAAAUCGAUAAAUUAGUUUGCGACCUCGAUGUUGGAUUAAGAAUAAAUUUUGAAGAAGUAUUUAAGAUUGUAGGUCUGUUCGACCUUUAAAUUCUUACGUGAUCUGAG